CAAAAAUGUAUAUUCAGAGAGAGAAAAUGCAUGGAUGGCGACAGUCAAGCGAUUUUAUUGGUAAAUGGAGCGUGUCCCUGCUAGUAGUUAAUCUAUCUAGUUUUUUAUUAUUACCAAAUCUGGUCAAUUUAAUCAAGUGCUCUCGUGUCCAGAGGCUAGUCGGGUGUCCACCGACCAUCUCGCGCAGAUGACGCGUUUCAUCUGACCCCAAACUCCCACCGUUGUCUAUCCCUCCUCCAACCUUAUCUUCUCUCCUUCUCCUACCUUUCAGUUCUUUCCUUUUUCCUUGGCCAUGAGAGCAGGAGAGCAUGUCCUCGUCCCUUGUGACCGCCCAGGCCGUCCCUUCCCUCGCUCGCAUGAGGUGCCUCCUCCAACCGCACCCGGAGAUGGUGCCCCGAGCCGCUUGAAGCAGGCCAGCCAGUAGCCGCCCCUGUUCCUCCUCUCACUCGGCUUUUCCCUCUCCUUCUCUCUCAAUUUUCGCCAUUGACAACCCCCGCAGCACCCCGCCCGCCAUCUUCGGCCACCUCUUCGUCGGCCUCGUGCUCCUCCGCCUCGAUCCGUCCGCCGCGCCACCGGAUCCACGCUGGAGCAGCCGGAUCCGCGGCCUCCUGCCUCGUCUGCCGUCGGGAGAGCCGCCUCACGCAGGCCAGCCGUCUACUCCUCUUCUCUGGGCUUUUCCCCCCUUCUCUCUCUCUCUCUCUCUCUCUCAUCUCCGUUUUCUCCAGGGAAGGAAGUGGCCAUGGAUCACAACCCGCAGCACCCCUGCUCUCGUUGCCGGAAACCUCUCUGUCGGCCUCGAGCUCCUCCGCCUCGAUCCGUCCGUACGACCCGCCGCCACCUCCUGCAUCGCCUGUCGUCUGGAGGAGGACGACCGAGAGUAGUGCCCGUUCGUCCGCCGCGUGGACUGGCUCAGCCCAGCUCGCCUGCUAAAGCCGUCGAGCAUCUGCCUUGUCGAGGCAACACUCCUCUACCUCGCCCCGCACCGCCGCGGUCUCCUCCGCCUCCACCCGCGCCACCCAUCUUCCUCCCUGUCCCCACCCCUCUCCCUCCCCACCCCUGCUCCCGCCCCUCUUCUCCCCGUUCAGCUUCCGCAUCACGGAGCGCAGCCACCGGACCGCCGCGAACAGCGAGGAGCAGCAUGGGCGUGGGGGCGAGUCGGGGACGCAAGCGUGGUCGUUAUCCACUUAAAAAGGACUGCGGGUUGAAUACCCCAAACCACAUGGUCUUUUUUGUAAAAUGUGCGACGACGUACGACCAGAAGCACUCUGUGCUUUAUUAGUAGGGAAAGAGGGAAAGAUAUAUAUAUAUAUAUAUACAUAUAUAUAUAUAUAUAUAUAUAUAUAUAUAUACAAAUGUUCGUGCGUUGCAACGGGAGAAAAUGUUGGCUUCAAUGAAUCUGCCAGAUCAAGGAACCAUGUCGUUGGACAACGCUCGCUGAUGAUAAGAAAUUGGUUCAUUUCAUCAACAUAUGGGGUGAUACAUCAUCAACCGAAUGGGAUAAGGCUUGGUCUAGUUUUAAGAAGAAAGGGAAGAAGACCCUAUUCUCAGAGUUCUCACCGAACAAAUAUGUGACCUGUAACCCACGGCGCAUUGAGUAUCCAUUGUCAGAAGAAGUCGAUCCAAUCAAAAGAGCCGAGAGGUCUAACUUGAUGUUGUGAACAAGCCCAAUAUGUACCUUAGUAGGGGUGAUUAUCUUCGUUUCGGCAUUUCUUAUCUAUACAUUGGUUGUCCCACCCAAGUAACAGGUGAGCUGUAGGCCAAAGAUUCUACUUGGAAGUCUGUAUUGUACAUUUAGUUUGUACUAUACCAAGUAUAAUCAUGGUUCUGUAUUGCUUCAAGCACAUUGUAAUAGAUCAUAAUACAGAACUCCUUCCAUUUUGGUGA